rnacentral:lncRNA from 1 species
AAAACUUAGUAUCACAUAUAAUGAAUAAUAUUAAAACUCAAUAGUGAAUAAUAAUACAACUCCAUAAUAUAUAACCAAAAACAAAAAAAUACAACUUCAUAAUAAAAUAAUAAAUAACAUUAAACAUAUGCCUAAAUUUAUCAUUAGGGAUUUUUUUUUUAAUGGAAAUUUAUCCUAGAUAAUAUUAGCUUGCAGAAAUUUUAAAGACCAUAUAAAUAUUACACGUCGUAGCUUUAUUCACAAACUCGUUCGCAGCAUGUUGGAUAAGGCUCAGUAGGAGGAUUAGAGAGAGAGGGGUUCGAGUCCCCUUGUGCGCAAAACCGCCAUUUCUCAACAAUUUUCAUUUAUUUUUCUGUUUCAUAUCGCGAUAUUAUCGAUAAUAUCGCGAUAUAAUGCCCAAAUAAAGCAUGAAACCGCCAUUUCUCAACAAUUUUCAUUUAUUUUUCAGUUUCAUAUCGCGAUAUUAUCGAUAAUAUCGCGAUAUAAUGCCCAAAUAAAGCAUGAACGAGUAGGAAAUUAUCGCCUCCGACAUUAUCGACGAAAAUAUCGAUAUAUUGAUGAAAUUUAAAUGGAUAUGUACUAUAAUAUCGUCCAUCCAAAAAAAUAAUAUUAUCGGCGAAAUAUUUUUAAGACUCUGGUUGAGACUUUAUUUAUUAUUUUUGUUUAUUA